GAUGAACGCUGGCGGCGUGCCUAAUACAUGCAAGUCGAGCGAACAGACGAGGAGCUUGCUCCUCUGACGUUAGCGGCGGGCGGGUGAGUAACACGUGGAUAACCUACCUAUAAGACUGGGAUAACUUCGGGCAACCGGAGCUAAUACCGGAUAAUAUAUUGAACCGGAUGGUUCAAUAGUGAAAGACGGUUUUGCUGUCACUUAUAGAUGGAUCCGCGCCGCAUUAGCUAGUUGGUAAGGUAACGGCUUACCAAGGCAACGAUGAGUAGCCGACCUGAGAGGGUGAUCAGCCACACUGGAACUGAGACACGGUCCAGACUCCUACGGGAGGCAGCAGUGGGGAAUCUUCCGCAAUGGGCGAAAGCUUGACGGAGCAACGCCGCGUGUGUGAUGAAGGUCUUCGGGUCGUAAAGCUCUGUUAUUGGGAAAGAACAAAUGUGUAAGUAACUCUGCACGUCUUGACGGUACCUAAUCAGAAAGCCACGGCUAACUACGUG
rnacentral:rRNA from 1 species